rnacentral:rRNA from 1 species
UACGUAGGUGGCAAGCGUUAUCCGGAUUUAACGGGCGUAAAGAGAACGCAGGCGGUCUUUUAAGUCUGAUGUGAAAGCCUUCGGCUUAACCGGAGUAGUGCAUUGGAAACUGGUAGACUUGAGUGCAGGAGAGGAGAGUGGAAUUCCAUGUGUAGCGGUGAAAUGCGUAGAUAUAUGGAGGAACACCGGUGGCGAAAGCGGCUCUCUGGCCUGUAACUGACACUGAGGCUCGAAAGCGUGGGGAGCAAACAGG